UACGAAGGGGGCUAGCGUUGUUCGGAUUUACUGGGCGUAAAGCGCACGUAGGCGGAUCUUUAAGUCAGAGGUGAAAGCCUGGAGCUCAACUCCAGAACUGCCUUUGAUACUGGGGAUCUCGAGUCCGGGAGAGGUGAGUGGAACUGCGAGUGUAGAGGUGAAAUUCGUAGAUAUUCGCAAGAACACCAGUGGCGAAGGCGGCUCACUGGCCCGGUACUGACGCUGAGGUGCGAAAGCGUGGGGAGCAAACAGG
rnacentral:rRNA from 2 species